rnacentral:rRNA from 1 species
UACGAAGGGGGCUAGCGUUGCUCGGAAUCACUGGGCGUAAAGCGCACGUAGGCGGCUUUCUAAGUCAGGGGUGAAAUCCUGGAGCUCAACUCCAGAACUGCCUUUGAUACUGGCGAGCUCGAGUCCGGGAGAGGUGAGUGGAACUGCGAGUGUAGAGGUGAAAUUCGUAGAUAUUAGGAAGAACACCGGUGGCGAAGGCGGCCCACUGGUCCGGUACUGACGCUGAGGUGCGAAAGCGUGGGGAGCAAACAGG